AGACGGAGUACUAGAUUGACUGGCAAGAAGAGAGGGAAUCCGGGGAGUCAGAAACGGAAUCAUAGGCUUGAGCUAGAGCUGUAGAACCUAUGUGUUAAGCAUGUAGUAAAUAGAGAAUGUUGCCGAACUCUCCUCUGCGUGUACCCUCGGAAAGCCUCUUUUCAUGCAAUUUGAAGCGCCUUACCUAGGGAAUUUGCCAUCAAAC
rnacentral:lncRNA from 1 species